CUUCCUCCCCAUGUCGUUUGAGUGCCUACUCAUUUGAUAAUCUACUGACUUUCUAGAAAAAGAUUGUCCAAGGUGAUGAUCAAAUGAUGGCUAAUACCACUAAUUAUUGCAGAAUUUCAACUUUAAGUAAUAAAUUCCCUGGAAGAGAACAGAAAGGAUAUUAGGCAACUCUAUAAACUAUGCAGUAGGAUUUAAUCGAAGAUAACAGCUAUUCGUUUAAGUAGUUUUAUAUUAUCAUAGUCCAAUAAUUAUCUUUCUAAGUAAAGUAUCUCCUAAUCCAAAAAUUAUAACAAAUAAAACUAACUUACAAAGACUGCAACAAUCAAUUACAUACUAUUUGGCUUAAAAGAAAUCAAGGAGAAUAACAAUAUUAUCAUGAAUUUGACACAGAGAUACACAACAAUUCAAACGUUUAACAAGUUGGUAAAAGUUGGUGGAGUAUUGAAUUUGGUGAUAUUGGAAUCAACAAUCCUAACCUCAGCAACCACUGUUAAGGAGCACUUUAAUCAGUCAGCAGAAGUUUACUGUACAAGAAAUAAACAUGGAGCUCCAAAACUUGCAUACCUCUAAAUUGAGCUCCAUAACCAGCACACAUCUAAAUGUAACCCUGCGAGAAACAUAACUCAUUUGAGUGAGACAUACUUGAUAUAUCAUAU
rnacentral:lncRNA from 1 species